GCCUGGGUGGCUCAGUCAGUUAAGUGUCAGACUUUGGAUCAGGUCAUGAUCUCACGGUUUGUGGGUUCAAGCCCCACUUCGGGCU
rfam:Felis catus isolate Cinnamon breed Abyssinian chromosome A2, whole genome shotgun sequence.